rnacentral:rRNA from 1 species
UACAGAGGUCCCAAGCGUUGUUCGGAUUCAUUGGGCGUAAAGGGUGCGUAGGCGGCGCGGUAAGUCGGGUGUGAAAUCUCGGAGCUUAACUCCGAAACUGCAUUCGAUACUGCCGUGCUUGAGGACUGGAGAGGAGACUGGAAUUUACGGUGUAGCAGUGAAAUGCGUAGAUAUCGAGAGGAACACCAGUGGCGAAGGCGAGUCCCUGGACAGGUCCUGACGCUGAGGCACGAAAGCGUGGGGAGCAAACAGG